CAUAGCCAUUAGUCCAGAUUCUUCUUCAACGUCAGAGGAGGGGAAAAAAAAGCCGGGCAGAUCUGUCAAAGGUAAUCGCCGACUCGCCGGGUACCGCUGCUUAUACACCCUCAAUAAUUUGUACUAAUAAUUCAAAUUUAUCAAAGCUUCCAUAAUUAUCCCAUUCAUCAGUUUCUCCUUCUCGUUUUCUCUCUAUCCACAAAUCGCGAUUUUAAAUGGCGUAGCUGUUGCAAAUCUUGGAAAAUUCCAAAUUUAAAGCGCGCGAAGCAAGAGUUAGGUGAACUACUAGAUUUUAACACUUGGAGGGUUUAUUCAGCUGGUUGUGCAACGCGAGCAAGUCACGUGAAGCAUGGCGGACUUGGAAAAUUUGCUACUGGAGGCAGCAGGAAGAACUGGUACAUCAGGAAGAAACAGGAAUGCGCUUCCACCAUCUAGGAGGCGGCGUGAGGGUUCAUAUUCUGAUGGUGGAAGUGACUCUAGAGAUGAUGAUUCCGAUGAUGACCGCGGCUAUUCAAGCAGGAAGCCAUCUGGAUCUCAAGUCCCAUUGAAGAAAAGACUGGACCCUACUGAAAGAGAUGAUGAUCAAGGUAGCCAGGAUGAAGGUGACUAUGAUGAUGGGAAUUCUGAUCGUGAGGGUGAUAGCAGUGAUGGAUCAGAUGUUGGUGAGGAUCUUUAUAAGAAUGAGGAUGAUCGGAGGAAGCUUGCUCAAAUGAGUGAACUUGAAAGGGAGAUGAUUUUAUCUGAACGAGCUGACAAAAAGGGUGAUAAGAAUUUAACCGAGAGAAUUAGAUCCAAACGGGAAAGUGAGAGGACAACCCGCUCCAGGAAAGAGACUCCCCCACUUCCAUCAUCUCGUGGUGUGCGCACAUCAGCUAGAUCUGCAGACAGGGCAGCUGCUAAAGAUGAUGCGCUAAAUGAAUUGAAAGCUAGACGUUUAAAGCAGCAGGAUCCAGAGGCUCACCGCAAGUUGAGGGAUGCAUCUAGAAGAGGUUCUGGAAGCCGGGGCUUUUCUCCGAUCAAGCGAAAACGCUUCACUUCUGCAAGCUUGAGUAGCUCUAGUAGUGAGAGCGAAAGUAGGUCUCAUAGUGAAGAUGAAGGAUCAACGGGUGAUGGUGGAAUGGCAGACAGUGAUGAUGAUGGCGAGCCUGGGUCUCAAGGUCCGACUUUUGACGAUAUAAGGGAAAUUACAAUCCGGAGGUCAAAACUUGCUAAAUGGUUUAUGGAGCCAUGGUUUGAAGAGUUGAUUGUGGGUUGCUUUGUUAGGGUUGGCAUUGGGAGGUCCAAGUCUGGACCAAUCUACAGGCUCUGUUUGGUUCGGAAUGUUGAUGCGGCAGACCCUGACCGCCCAUACAAACUGGAGAACAAAACAACAUAUAAAUAUCUGAAUGUUAUUUGGGGUAAUGAAAGCUCUGCUGCCAGGUGGCAAAUGGCUAUGAUUUCAGACUCUGCACCAACAGAGGAUGAGUAUAAACAGUGGGUCAGGGAGGUGGAGCGUAGUGGCGGCCGGAUGCCAACCAAACAGGAUAUUCUGGAAAAGAAGGAGGCCAUAAGAAAGUCAAAUACAUUUGUUUAUUCAGCAGCCACUGUGAAGCAGAUGUUGCAAGAAAAGAAAUCUGCCUCAUCAAGGCCACUAAAUGUUGCGGCUGAGAAGGACCGGCUGAGGAGGGAAUUGGAAGUGGCACAAAGUAAGCAAGAUGAUGCAGAGGUGGAGAGGAUUCGGGCUAGGAUUCAGGAACUGGAGGCGUCUCGACAAACUCAAGGAAAAGAUGCGAAGGCUAUUAGAUUGGCAGAAAUGAAUAGGAAGAAUAGGGCUGAGAAUUUCAGAAAUGCAUCAGAGUUGAAACCUGUGAACACAAGUCUGAAAGCAGGGGAGGCUGGGUACGAUCCAUUUUCAAGGAGAUGGACUAGGUCAAGGAAUUACUACGUGUCAAAGCCUGCUGGGGGAGAUGCAGCUGCUGCAACAAAUAAUGAGGCCAGUGGUACAGUAGCUGUUGCAAAUAAAACUGAGUCAGCAGCAGGAGUGUCAGCUGAGGCUGGCAUGGCUGCUACAGCAGCUGCCUUGGAAGCAGCAGCUGAUGCAGGGAAGUUGGUUGAUACAGCUGCUCCUGUAGAUCAAGGCACGGAGUCAAAUACACUGCAUAACUUUGAGCUUCCAAUCUCAUUGACUGCACUUCAGAAAUUUGGUGGAGCACAGGGAGCUCAGGCAGGAUUCAUGGCAAGAAAACAACGGAUAGAAGCAACUAUUGGAUGCCGGGUCUCUGAGAAUGAUGAGAAGAGGCAUGUCCUGACUUUGACAGUUAGUGACUACAAGAGAAGAAGAGGACUUCUCUGAAAUUUGAUUGUGCACCAAUCAAUUCCAUUCCCGGUGUUUGUCUUUCUGGCUUUGUUUCAGUUGUUAUGUGAAUGCAAGAUUUUGAGAAUGAUCGUGUUAAGAGAGCAGGAUGAACUCUACUGUUUGAAGUGUUGUGCAGAUUUUCUUAAUUAUUACAAGGACAAUUAUUCUCCUGAGAUUAAGGUUUUCACUUAGAACUAUUUUGCUAUUGAGCAAAGGUCGGAGCAUACUCAGGAAUUCUGUGUUGUUUGCAUGGUCAGUUGGCUCCUUCGGAUUUUAGUUUCUUUUUAUCCCUCAAAAGCCAAGUACCUUUCCUUCGUAUUUACUAGAUUCUUACCUUCUUUUCUUUUGACAAUCGAGAUACAUCAGUAAUGGUGAGCGGGGAGGAGACGUUAAUUACUAAGGUUCAUUCACAACACUUGUGGACUUCAUGAUCCAAACCCACCCAUAUACCCACAGGGCUAAAGCCACCAUUUCGGUGGGACGGAGCCUUCCCUUUUGGCUUGGAGGAGAGUCUAGAGACCCUCUAUACAUGCUGGAUUAAAAACCCAAAAAUUUGCAACAAAGUAAACUUGUCAAACUGAAUCUUAUACAGCAUGCAAAUGUUAGGCGGGAGAGAUUAUCGAAUAAAAGCCUAUGGGCAGCCAAAGCCAUUUCAGCCAACACGCUAUUGCGCUCGCGAAUGAGCCAGUAAAUUGAGAAAGCAACAGCAAUGAAGACCCAGUUCGAUUGUCACUCAUUCCGAUGAUGAUAAUAAGAAAUUUUGGUAGUUAUUUGUUGGGAGGAAGAUAUAUUGAGAAUUUUUGUAUUAGCUAUUUUAUAUUAUGUGCAAUCAUUACUUUUCUUACCUUAAUAAAAAUGUAUAUUAGCUACACACUAUAGAAAUGUACUUUCUGAUUCAAAAACAAUAAUAAUAAAUUCACGUGAAACAUUCAUUUCA